rnacentral:rRNA from 1 species
UACGGAGGAGGCAAGCGUUAUCCGGAAUUAUUGGGCGUAAAGCGUCCGUAGGUGGCUCUUCAAGUCUGCUGUCAAAGAGUGGGGCUUAACCCUGCAAAGGCAGUGGAAACUGAAAGGCUAGAGAGCCGUAGGGGUAGAGGGAAUUCCUGGUGUAGCGGUGAAAUGCGCAGAUAUCAGGAGGAACACCGGUGGCGAAGGCGGAUCUCUGGGCCGUAACUGACGCUGAGGAGCGAAAGCAUGGGUAGCGAACAGG